UACGGGAGGCAGCAGUGGGGAAUAUUGCACAAUGGGCGCAAGCCUGAUGCAGCCAUGCCGCGUGUAUGAAGAAGGCCUUCGGGUUGUAAAGUACUUUCAGUCGUGAGGAAGGUGUUAAGGUUAAUAACCUUAGCAAUUGACGUUAGCGACAGAAGAAGCACCGGCUAACUCCGUGCCAGCAGCCGCGGUAAUACGGAGGGUGCGAGCGUUAAUCGGAAUUACUGGGCGUAAAGGGCACGCAGGCGGUUAAUUAAGUUGGAUGUGAAAUCCCCGGGCUUAAACCUGGGAAUGGCAUUCAAGACUGGUUAGCUAGAGUCUUGUAGAGGGGGUAGAAUUCCAUGUGUAGCGGUGAAAUGCGUAGAGAUGUGGAGGAAUACCGGUGGCGAAGGCGGCCCCUGGACAAAGACUGACGCUCAUGUGCGAAAGCGUGGGGAGCAAAAC
rnacentral:rRNA from 1 species